GACGAACGCUGGCGGCGUGCUUAACACAUGCAAGUCGAACGGAAAGGCCCUGCUUGCAGGGUACUCGAGUGGCGAACGGGUGAGUAACACGUGGGUGAUCUGCCCUGCACUUCGGGAUAAGCUUGGGAAACUGGGUCUAAUACCGGAUAGGAGCCAUCUUUAGUGUGGUGGUUGGAAAGUUUUUUCGGUGUAGGAUGAGCUCGCGGCCUAUCAGCUUGUUGGUGGGGUAAUGGCCUACCAAGGCGGCGACGGGUAGCCGGCCUGAGAGGGUGUACGGCCACAUUGGGACUGAGAUACGGCCCAGACUCCUACGGGAGGCAGCAGUGGGGAAUAUUGCACAAUGGGCGCAAGCCUGAUGCAGCGACGCCGCGUGGGGGAUGAAGGCCUUCGGGUUGUAAACUCCUUUCGCUAGGGACGAAGCUUUUUGUGACGGUACCUAGAUAAGAAACACCGGCUAACUACGU
rnacentral:rRNA from 1 species